rnacentral:lncRNA from 1 species
AAUCAUCCACGUAAGAAACUGAAUACUCAUUCAUUGGUGCUACUGAAGAGGUGCUAACAAAGUCCUUAUACUGAGAAGUGCUCAAGAUGUCCUUAGAAUGAGAGUCUGGCACUGUUGUGUACAGAAUAUCUCUCGAAUGAAAGAUAGGUUUCUCUCCUUCCCUGUAGGAUUCCAUUACAGGUAACUUAUCCCUUGAAUGGUAUACAGGUUUCUCUCCUUCUCUGUAGGAUUCCAUUAUUGGUAACUUGUCCCUCGAAUGGAACACAUGCUUCUCUUCUUUGUAGGAUUCCAUAGCUGCCAACUUAUCAGAAGGAAUUGGCUGAUGGUUCCUUGAAUGGUACGCAUGUUUCUCUUCUUUGUAAGAUUCCAUAGCUGCCAACUUAUCAGAAGGAAUUGGCUGACGCUCCCUUGAAUGGAACGCAUGUUUCUCUCCUUUGUAAGAUUCCAUAGCUGCCAACUUAUCAGAAGGAAUUGGCUGACGGUCCCUUGAAUGGUACGCAUGUUUCCCUUCUUGGUAAGAUUCCAUAGCUGCCAACUUAUCAGAAGGAAUUGGCUGACGAUCCCUUGAAUGGUACGCAGGUUUCCCUUCUUGGUAAGAUUCCAUAGCUGCCAACUUAUCAGAAGGAAUUGGCUGACGGUCCCUUGAAUGGUACGCAUGUUUCCCUUCUUGGUAAGAUUCCAUAGCUGCCAACUUAUCAGAAGGAAUUGGCUGACGGUCCCUUGAAU